rnacentral:lncRNA from 1 species
UAUUUAACAAUCAUUUAACGAUAUACAUGUAUGUUUGGGUUGAAAUACAAAGACUAAUGGGCGUGAAAUGAAAAAUGUGAAUAUUGUUCCUCCAAAAGAUAUAUGUCGGUAACACUGUUUAUGUCUAACUUCAUCCAUAGUAAUAAUAUCUUCUAUAAAACAAUCCACGUCCACCCCAUCCAUUGUCCCAUCCAUUAUCCCAGCCAUUAUCUCCGUCCCAGCCAUUAUCCCAGCCGUUUUCCCGUUCAUAAUACUGUGCUAAGGUUGUCAUCAGUAUAACACAAAAUAAAAGCAGUUGUAGGGAUAACAUGUUGUCUGAAAUGAUGAAGUUUAUAAUACUGUUUAAUAU